rnacentral:rRNA from 1 species
AUUGAACGCUGGCGGCAGGCUUAACACAUGCAAGUCGAGCGGAGCGAGGGUGCUUGCACCUUAGCUUAGCGGCGGACGGGUGAGUAAUGCUUAGGAAUCUGCCUAUUAGUGGGGGACAACAUUCCGAAAGGGAUGCUAAUACCGCAUACGCCCUACGGGGGAAAGCAGGGGAUCUUCGGACCUUGCGCUAAUAGAUGAGCCUAAGUCGGAUUAGCUAGUUGGUGGGGUAAAGGCCUACCUAGGCGACGAUCUGUAGCGGGUCUGAGAGGAUGAUCCGCCACACUGGGACUGAGGCACGGCACAGACUCCUACGGGAGGCAUCAGUGGGGAAUAUUGGACAAUGGGCGGAAGCCUGAUCCAGCCAUGCCGCGUGUGUGAAGAAGGCCUUUUGGUUGUAAAGCACUUUAAGCGAGGAGGAGGCUCUUAAGGUUAAUACCCUUGAUGAGUGGACGUUACUCGCAGAAUAAGCACCAGCUAACUACGUGCCAGCCGCCGCAGUAACAC